GUGAGGAAUAUUGCGCAAUGGAGGCAACUCUGACGCAGCCAUGCCGCGUGCAGGAAGAAGGCGCUACGCGUUGUAAACUGCUUUUAACCGGGAAGAAACCCCAGGACGUGUCCUGGGUUGACGGUACCGGAGGAAUAAGCACCGGCUAACUUCGUGCCAGCAGCCGCGGUUAUACGAAGGGUGCAAGCGUUAUCCGGAUUCAUUGGGUUUAAAGGGUGCGUAGGCGGAGCGUUAAGUCAGUGGUGAAAUCCUGCAGCUUAACUGUAGACUUGCCAUUGAUACUGGCGCUCUUGAGUGCGCUUGAAGUGGGCGGAAUGUGCCGUGUAGCGGUGAAAUGCUUAGAUAUGGCACAGAACACCAAUUGCGAAGGCAGCUCACUAAGGCGAUACUGACGCUGAGGCACGAAAGCGUGGGGAUCGAACAGGAUUAGAUACCCCAGUAGUCC
rnacentral:rRNA from 1 species